rnacentral:rRNA from 1 species
UACGGAGGGUGCAAGCGUUAUCCGGAUUCACUGGGUUUAAAGGGUGCGUAGGCGGGUAUGUAAGGCAGUGGUGAAAUCCCCGAGCUUAACUCGGGAACUGCCAUUGAUACUAUAUAUCUUGAAUAUUCUGGAGGUAUGCGGAAUAUGUCAUGUAGCGGUGAAAUGCUUAGAGAUGACAUAGAACACCUAUUGCGAAGGCAGCAUACUACGGAAAGAUUGACGCUGAGGCACGAAAGUGUGGGGAUCAAACAGG